AAAAUGUCUAUUUUUUCAUUUGAUUUUAAUUUUUGUUGUGUUUUUUACCUUAUUUAUUACCUUCUUAGUGCAUUUGUAUAUCGUACGACACUCAUUCAAUACUGCAUUAGAUAGUCGACGGACUGCGUUGAAAUAUGGAGUUCUUUCAGAAAAUGUGAUGCAAUACAGUUCACUUGGGGCAGCAUUUGUUAAUGUCACACCGGCUCAGCUGGCAUGCAAUGUCCUGCUACUGAGACGUUCCUGGUCAGCGGCGCCGGCUCAUUGUGUUAUCAUUCGAACAGAUCCAGAAUUAGUAGAAAUGCUGCCAAAAUGGAGAAUACAGUACUAUGGUGAAACUAUCUACACGACGGGAAUAAGGAGAAGCAUAGCUCACACACAAUUUAACCGAGAUACAUUGGAGAACAAUAUAGGCCUUUUUGAACAUUAUCAGAAUAUAACCCUGAAUGAAUAUAUAUUUCAAAAUAUUCCAAUGGACGUAGAAUUAUGGAUGUCAGAUGCAAUGAAGAAUUUCAGCAUUAUAUCGUGGACGUACCGUCUUCAAAAUGGAGAUGCACACUACAAAACAAAAGUUUAUUCCGCUACUGUGCUUGAUACGGAAAAAUGCAAAAAUUUGACUGCAGAUGUAGUAGAACGGAGAAACUAUGAAUUUUGCAUACAACCAAGAGAGAAGCACGUGUCCGUGGAAUAUGGUGCGUUGGUGGCAUUCAAUUUCAAAAUUCUGGGCCUCUAUUCGUGGGGAGAAAGAGCUUUCAGGAGCAGCCCAUUAGUAAUCAUACAAAUUUCUUAUUUUCAUGAUUGGCUAAAUGUUGCGAUGACAUUGUAGGAAUAUUUUGAAGAAUAAUAAUUAUGAAUCAAGUGUCGGCUUAUUUCAUCUUCGGUAAACAUAAACUUAUAAGACAUGUGACUAUAUAAUUGCUUACCCCGCUGUGCUAUAC